rnacentral:rRNA from 1 species
UACGGUGGGGGCAAGCGUUGUUCGGAAUUACUGGGCGUAAAGGGCUCGUAGGCGGCCAACUAAGUCGGAUGUGAAAUCCCCAGGCUUAACUUGGGAACUGCAUCCGAUACUGGAUGGCUUGAAUCCGGGAGAGGGAUGCGGAAUUCCAGGUGUAGCGGUGAAAUGCGUAGAUAUCUGGAGGAACACCGGUGGCGAAGGCGGCAUCCUGGACUGGCAUUGACGCUGAUGAGCGAAAGCCAGGGGAGCAAACGGG